rnacentral:tRNA from 1 species
AGGACAGUAGCUCAAUUGGGUAGAGCAGGUCAAUAGUAAGAUUAUUCUCCUUGAGGAGGUCAAUUACUAUUUACUUCUGAGCUUCUAACUCCCUGGUUGCGGGUUCGAGUCCCGUCUGUCCUA